UACGUAGGGUGCAAGCGUUGUCCGGAAUUAUUGGGCGUAAAGAGCUCGUAGGCGGUUUGUUGCGUCGGCUGUGAAAUCCCGAGGCUCAACCUCGGGUCUGCAGUCGAUACGAGCAAACUAGAGUGUUGCAGGGGAGACUGGAAUUUCUGGUGUAGCGGUGAAAUGCGCAGAUAUCAGGAGGAACACCGGUGGCGAAGGCGGGACUCUGGGCCGAUACUGACGCUGAGGAGCGAAAGCGUGGGGAGCAAACAGG
rnacentral:rRNA from 1 species